GAAAUGCGAUAAGUAAUGUGAAUUGCAGAAUUCAGUGAAUCAUCGAAUCUUUGAACGCACAUUGCGCCCGCCAGCACUCUGGCGGGCAUGCCUGUUCGAGCGUCAUUUCAACCCUCAGAACCCCUUGCGGGAUCUGGCGUUGGGGAUUGGCAUCCAGCCAGCCCCGAAAUCUAGUGGCGGUCCCUCCGCGACCUCCCCUGUGCAGUAGCGAUACCUCGCAGCGGGACAGCGGUCUGACCACGCCGUAAAACCCCCAACUUCUCAAGGUUGACCUCGAAUCAGGUAGGAAUACCCGCUUAACUUGAGC
rnacentral:misc_RNA from 1 species